AUUGAACGCUGGCGGCAGGCCUAACACAUGCAAGUCGAGCGGAUGAAGGGAGCUUGCUCCUGGAUUCAGCGGCGGACGGGUGAGUAAUGCCUAGGAAUCUGCCUGGUAGUGGGGGAUAACGUCCGGAAACGGGCGCUAAUACCGCAUACGUCCUGAGGGAGAAAGUGGGGGAUCUUCGGACCUCACGCUAUCAGAUGAGCCUAGGUCGGAUUAGCUAGUUGGUGGGGUAAAGGCCUUCCAAGGCGACGAUCCGUAACUGGUCUGAGAGGAUGAUCAGUCACACUAGAACUGAGACACGGUCCAGACUCCUACGGGAGGCAGCAGUGGGGAAUAUUGGACAAUGGGCGAAAGCCUGAUCCAGCCAUGCCGCGUGUGUGAAGAAGGUCUUCGGAUUGUAAAGCACUUUAAGUUGGGAGGAAGGGCAGUAAGUUAAUACCUUGCUGUUUUGACGUUACCAACAGAAUAAGCACCGGCUAACUUCGUG
rnacentral:rRNA from 1 species